rnacentral:rRNA from 1 species
UACGUAGGGGGCAAGCGUUGUCCGGAUUUACUGGGCGUAAAGAGCGUGUAGGCGGCCAAGCAGGUCCGUUGUGAAAACUGGAGGCUUAACCUCCAGACGUCGACGGAAACCGCGUGGCUAGAGUCCGGAAGAGGAGAGUGGAAUUCCUGGUGUAGCGGUGAAAUGCGCAGAUAUCAGGAGGAAUACCGAUGGCGAAGGCAGGUCUCUGGGCUAUAACUGACGCUCAUGCACGAAAGCGUGGGGAGCGAACAGG